UACGUAGGGGGCAAGCGUUGUCCGGAUUUAUUGGGCGUAAAGAGCGUGUAGGCGGCUUGGUAGGUCCGCUGUGAAAACUCGAGGCUCAACCUCGAGAUGUCGGCGGAAACCACUUGGCUAGAGUCCGGAAGAGGAGAGUGAAAUUCCCGGUGUAGCGGUGAAAUGCGCAGAUAUCGGGAAGAACACCUAUGGCGAAGGCAGCUCUCUGGGACGGUACUGACGCUGAGACGCGAAAGCGUGGGGAGCGAACAGG
rnacentral:rRNA from 1 species